AUAAUUAACAUUUCAGCAUCGUCAAAGACAGAUGACCGACACGUAGAAACACGUGACUAGUAUGGAUCACUUCUGUAGGUCAGGAUACCUCUGUAUAAUUUAGAAAAAAAAGGACAUGUAAACCCACGUUCUGACCGGAUUAAAACAUUUGACUAUAUGAUGUAAAGGAUUGUUAUCUUUUCUUUUUGUUGGGCUUAGCGUGUUCGGUUUAAUAUGAAUUAACUAAGAACGGUGCCGCUAGCACCACAAGACGUUUUGGUUAGGAAUAAAAUAAAUACUGUAUAUUGAACAAAUGCUUGAUUGGUGCCCUAUAAUAUGCACAUUUAUACGCAACAUUGACAGCUUAGAUGAUCUAAAUUAUUGCUAUAGUAAUUACUCAUUUUUUUAGUGUGAAUAGUGACUACAAUAUUAAUAUUGCUUUUACACACGAGGCUUUGUGUACGCAAAAAAAAAAGCUAGCAACUUUCAUAAACCUACUACGUACAAAGCAGUUUUUAACAAGACUUGAAAGAAGCGCCACUAACAUUUAAUAAGACGAUGGGGGUUAAAGGCUUCUUCUACAGAUCUUGAUUACGUUAGAAUCAGCUUAUCCUUCUUGGGCCUUACUAGCCCACCGUUCUUUUAUCCCCUAACUAACUUGACCCAUGAGUUAUACUCUAAAAAAACAACAAAUAAUAAUAUUUUAUUUUAAUAUUUAAAAGAGCAGGGCCCAACCGGGUUCGAACCGGUGACCUAUUGAUCUGCAGUCAAUUGCUCUACCACUGAGCUAUGGACCCAUCAUGUUUUUAAAUACUUAAGUUUCAUAUUAGUUGUCCUCAGUUUUUCUAAAACCUCACAUGUUUAGUCAAUUAUCUAGUACUCAUUUUUCAGCAAAAUCACUUCUCAUUUUUCCAAUGUUGAAUAAAACAAAAAAUAUUGAAGGUUGAAUACAUAUAUAUAUAUAUAUAUAUAUGACGAGUGAGAAGACAAUUCAUUAAUAAACAGAUUAGUAUAAAUGUCAUUCAAAAAAUUUAGAAUGUGGGAAAAAAAUACAAUAACUGAAACGCUGAACUAAUUGAUGGCUCGUAUCUUAUUUGGAUUAAUAUAUAUACCUAAUGAAUUUUAAUUUUAAUGUUUAUUUUAUACAAAUUUCAAAUUAUUAAAUUAGAUAUUUAUUUUAAUGUUUUAUAUUUAUUUAUGGGAUGUAGAUAUUGAAUCAGAAAAUAGUAAUAAUAAAAUCAUUCUUAGAAUUGAAACUAAACACUUAUUAUAUUUGCAGACUUAAAAAAGUUCACUGGCAUUGAAAAGAUUAUAAACAAUCACAAUACAUAAACAUCAACAGAAUAACAAUAGCCAGUAAAUAUUAUAUAUUUUUUUAUAAUUUAUAUUUUAAAAACAGUUAGACAAAAACACAAAAUAAAUAAAUUAUAAAACAUUAUCUCUAUAUUCUCUUAGAUUAUAUUUAUAUUAUGUUUAUUAUUUGUCAAUUGUAAUGUUAUUUAAUGUUUUUAUCCUAGUUUUUCAUUCUUCCAUAUUUUUAAUAUUUUUGGGUUAAUUUUUAUUUUAUCGUUUAUAUAAUAUUUAUUAUUUUAGUUUUAAGUAUAUUGUUUUGAUAACAUUUGUGAUUUUAGGAAUCAAAAUAUAAUUUUAUGUUCGUCAUGUUCAAAUAUUAAUUUAUUUUAGGUUAGGAAUAUAAUUUUUUAAUAUUCAAAAUAUAUAAAAUAUUUAACAUAAGAAUACAUUUUAUAUUUUACGAUAUUUCUAAUGAUGCUUUACCUUUAAUCUUAAAUUUAAUUUUGCAAUAAUAUGUAUUUGGAUCAAUAUUUUUAAUAAGAAUCGGAGAAACUGCUAUAAUAUUAAUCAUUAAAAUCAUAACUAAAUAUAAGAUAAACAUAAUUAUGAUACUAUUAUCAGUAGAAUUUGUUUAAUAUCUAUUGUUAAUAUGAUAAUAUCUAUUUAUUAAUAAAAUAUACUAAAUAUCAUGAUAGUAUAUAUAUUAAAAUACUGUUUAGAAAAUAAUAGUAUAUGCAUAUUGGUAGAAUUAGUUAAUAUUUGUUUAUUAAUUAUCUUAAAUUUCAUGAUAAAUAUAUACAUAUAUAAAUAAAAUAUUAAAUAAUAUUAAUUAAACUAAUGACUUAUCCUAAAAUUAUGGAGAAGAUGACAAAUCAACAAAUUUACUUCUAAAAUUUUACUAUAGAUAAGGAUUAUUAUUCUAAUAUUCCCACUUGAUUUUGCUUGCUUUUUUAAAGGCUUCUUAUUUUAAUCAAUGUUUAGAAUAAUAUUGCAAGUAAUCUUCAGUUAUUAAAUUAGUAUUAGUAUACUUCUUAAAACCAUAUACAUAAAUAUAUUACCUAUAGAAGAUGUUGAGAUCUAAUCAUAGUUAUUUGCAUAUUAAGUUUUUAAUUUGUACAUGUUGAUGAUUUACCUUUUGGUUCAACUUCUCUUGUUAUCCACAUUGAAGUUUUUUAAAAAAAAUUUCUUCUUAUUUGUUUUUGCCUUAACUUCAUUUGUUAUUGCCUUAACUUCAAAUUCAAAACCCUGGUGGACUUUACCAUAUAUAUAAUUUUCAAGGUAAGUUUAUAAUUUUACAGUUACAAAUAAGUAUAAUUUUAUCUUUACACAUUUUACCAAACUUAUUCAUUGAAUGUCUCUGUUACCAAAUCUCAACCCAUUAAAUAAUUUCCUAUUUUGGUAUUUGACAAAAAUAAUCAUGUAUUAGAGAUUUGACUAUUCCAUUUGUUAUAUAUACGCAUGUUCCCCUUUUAAUUAUUUUUAGACCAAGCAAAACAAACUUUAAUUAUCAAAAUAUUAUUCAAGCGAUGGCUUUGUCAAAGUCCCAACUUGCAACACUUCUCAUCUUAUGUUCUUUGCUAUUUGUUUCCCAAUCAAAAAUAUUGAAGAUAGAAGGAAAAGGCAACCCUCCUGACGAAUGUAAAUUUAGAGGUGGGUGCAAUACUAGCGAAGAGUGUAAAAUUCCAUGCGGACCGCCUCGUUUCCCACUGGGAACUAUUGGUUUAUGUGUGCGAGAUCCUUUUGCUCACUCUGCCGUACAUCUUUGUUGUUGUGCGCCUAAAAAUUCAUCAUAAUGAAUGUUGGUCGAAUAUCUAUAUUAUUUAUGAAUUUAAUGAGAUAAUAAGAAUAUUUUGGUUUUUACA